AUUAAAGAAAUUUAGGUAAUUGAACAAAAUGACAAAAGGGUGCAAUAAUUCUUAAAAACCGUUAUCCAGGUAGAUCGACUACCUAUAUAAGUGCGAACUGUUGGAAAUAUUUGACAUUUUCACUGUAAACACGAAUCAGAGAGUUACUUAGCUGUGAUUGUUCCAUUGCAGUAUGCAUUUUUAUACAAAAGAAAGCGAAGUUAAUUUUUGCUGAACAUUUCAAAAUAUUAAUUUUGGAGCGAACAAGUUGAAAAUAUUUGGCAUUUUCGGUGCAAACAGAGAUCAGAGAAUUUAUGUAUACAAUUUAUAUACAAUUUAUGUAUACAAUUUGAUAUCAUAUUCCAGUGUACGUCUUUAUGCAAAAGACUUUUUGUUAAAUCUAUUAAAACAAUAACAAAAAUAUUAUAAUAAAAACAUCAAAAAUGGUGAUGCUUCCCAUUUGCGAAAAUGAUGUGAUAUUACUAAAUAGAGAAGAUCCACAGAAUGCACGUAAUAAUGCAAUUCCAUAUUAUCGUAGAAAUCCUCAAAAUAAUAUUCCAGUUAAUAGAGUAAGACCUCGACGACACGUUGAUAAUCUUAUUAAUCAAUACGUAAAACCAAGAACGGGUCAAGAAGAAAAUUAUAGUGAAGAAGAAAUAGUAGAAUUUCAACGUAUUUUACGAAAUUAUUUAGAAGGGCCUAUUGGUCGAUAAUAUAUAUGUUCAAGAUAAUAAUGUUAUUGAUAUAAUAAUUAAUGUAUUUAUACAUUAUAUAAUGUAUUAUUUACAUUAAUAACAAUAUUGUUAUAAUUUUUUGUUAAAUAUUAAUAAUGUAUAUAUGUAUUAUUCGAUUAACAUAAUUAAGAAUAAAAACAAUAUAAUUAUUUA